rnacentral:lncRNA from 1 species
AAAUUAAAUUUUUAAAUGAAAAAAUAUUACAAAUAAUAAGUGAAAAAGUAAAAAUUAAACCCAACUGUUCACAUUCACAAACCCAGAAAAACGAUGAGUUCCCACUCACAUGACAAUUUCACAAAUCACAAACAACUUGAUGUUCAAACUCUUCUUUAAAAAAAUCGAAAUUCGAUAGGCUCCAUGCUCAUCCAAUUCCUCAUGUUUUGCUCACACCCGGAAAAAUCACACAAUUCCUCAUGUUUGCUCUUCAACACCUCUGCUGAAUGCUUUGUGGCUUGUUAUUUAAUUUUUUUCUUUGUCGUCCUACAUCAACAACAAAACUUUGAUUUCAGGUAUCUUAGGAUAGAAAUACAAUAUUAAAGCAUCCACUUGAUGAUAAUGAUUGGGUGAGAAGUGGGAUUGAAGAAGAUAAAGUGAUAUUUGGGAUUU